rnacentral:misc_RNA from 1 species
GAAAUGCGAUAAGUAGUGUGAAUUGCAGAAUUCAGUGAAUCAUCGAAUCUUUGAACGCACAUUGCGCCCCUUGGUAUUCCAUGGGGCAUGCCUGUUCGAGCGUCAUUUGUACCCUCAAGCUCUGCUUGGUGUUGGGUGUUUGUCCCCGUCUCCGCGCGUGGACUCGCCCCAAAGUGAUUGGCAGCCGGCGUACUGGUCCCGGAGCGCAGCACAUGUCGCGCAAACGAGUGCCUUGGUACGGCGGCGUCCAUAAGCCCCUCUCUCACGCUCUUGACCUCGGAUCAGGUAGGGAUACCCGCUGAAUUUAAGC